AGUGAACGCUGGCGGUAGGCCUAACACAUGCAAGUCGAACGGCAGCACAGUAAGAGCUUGCUCUUACGGGUGGCGAGUGGCGGACGGGUGAGGAAUACAUCGGAAUCUACUUUUUCGUGGGGGAUAACGUAGGGAAACUUACGCUAAUACCGCAUACGACCUACGGGUGAAAGCAGGGGAUCUUCGGACCUUGCGCGAUUGAAUGAGCCGAUGUCGGAUUAGCUAGUUGGCGGGGUAAAGGCCCACCAAGGCGACGAUCCGUAGCUGGUCUGAGAGGAUGAUCAGACACACUGGAACUGAGACACGGUCCAGACUCCUACGGGAGGCAGCAGUGGGGAAUAUUGGACAAUGGGCGCAAGCCUGAUCCAGCCAUACCGCGUGGGUGAAGAAGGCCUUCGGGUUGUAAAGCCCUUUUGUUGGGAAAGAAAAGCAGCAGGUUAAUACCACGCUGUUCUGACGGUACCCAAAGAAUAAGCACCGGCUAACUUCGUG
rnacentral:rRNA from 1 species